rnacentral:rRNA from 1 species
GGCGUUAAGUUGCAGGGUAUAGACCCGAAACCCGGUGAUCUAGCCAUGGGCAGGUUGAAGGUUGGGUAACACUAACUGGAGGACCGAACCGACUAAUGUUGAAAAAUUAGCGGAUGACUUGUGGCUGGGGGUGAAAGGCCAAUCAAACCGGGAGAUAGCUGGUUCUCCCCGAAAGCUAUUUAGGUAGCGCCUCGUGAAUUCAUCUCCGGGGGUAGAGCACUGUUUCGGCAAGGGGGUCAUCCCGACUUACCAACCCGAUGCAAACUGCGAAUACCGGAGAAUGUUAUCACGGGAGACACACGGCGGGUGCUAACGUCCGUCGUGAAGAGGGAAACAACCCAGACCGCCAGCUAAGGUCCCAAAGUCAUGGUUAAGUGGGAAACGAUGUGGGAAGGCCCAGACAGCCAGGAUGUUGGCUUAGAAGCAGCCAUCAUUUAAAGAAAGCGUAAUAGCUCACUGGUCGAGUCGGCCUGCGCGGAAGAUGUAACGGGGCUAAACCAUGCACCGAAGCUGCGGCAGCGACACUAUGUGUUGUUGGGUA